CCCCUCUGGAGGAGGAGACAGACGUUCAGAUGAGGAGGGAAGAAAGGCUAGUUUCUCUCGCCAAGCUAACGUGAUUUUCUUUACAAAAGCUUAAUCGGAACUUUCUUCAGAGCCCAGGCAGGAUGAGAGGCUCGCCCCAUGUUUGCUUUCUGGGCUGGGUCUGUAAUCCUCCUCGGUGAGCACGGCUUCUAGAUGCUUCCUUGGCUACAAGCCCCUGUGGCUGAACGUGUGCUCAACUCCUGACCUCCCCCUGGCUUCUGCCCUGGUUUUGGGUGGCUUCACCAGGACAUGGUCUGAUUCUCAGCCCUGGAACCCGGUUUUUGGUGUUUGGUGGAGAGUGGGGACAGGCGCGGCCACCAGCUGAAGGAUGUCAGUGGGGAUGUGUUACAAACCCCAGCACUCCAGCCAGAAGUUCGGAGAAAACAAACAUGCUCAUGGAGGAGAGUGAGAAAAGCACAAAGCAGAUACUUCUGCAGACAGUCCCCUCCCCAGUCCAUCUGUGGAUCAAGCCAGACCCGACCGUAAGGAUGCUGUUUUACAGAUUAGGAGAUGGAGCCUCAGAGAAGUUCUAAGAAGUGACAGAGCCCAGACUGGAACCCCAAACCAUGGGACCCCCAAAUCUCGGCUUUGCCCACCUUUCUUUCUCCGGGCCCACAGGGAGCUGUGGGAGUCUUUUCAGGGAACAAGGUCUUCAGGCGCACGUUUCAGAUGGAUCUCUGCUGCCCACCGCGUGGGGCGCAGUCAGUCUGGAGCCGGGGGACCAGGAGCGCGCUCAGAUCUCUGCAGAGAGACGACGGAGGCCGGGACCAAGCUGUUCCGGUGGGGAAGAAAGAGGACCAGCGCGGCUGCCUGGGCCUCGGUCUCGCUCUCCUGGGGUGGAGACAGCACCCUCUGCUGAGACGGUGAGAAGCCAGCGCUCGGGAGGCUGCUGAGCGCUUGAGCAGCCACCUAUGCAGGCGGGGCUGAUGUGGCCUGACCACAGCACCUCACCAGGCCUGGACCCUGCCCAGCCCAACCGCCCACGUGGUGUCAUUAGCUCUGCUGACACUGUGACGUGGAGCCACGGAUGUCCCAGAGCCCAGGAGAGGGCAGGUGGAUUCUUUACCAUCGGUGCCACGAGGGAAGCCCACAGGCAACAGUUUCUGCAAGAACCCCCUGGUCAGUGAAGUGCUCGCCUACGAGACGACAUCUGCAGGCCGCUCAGGCAGGGCCCUCUGAAACGGCUGCCAUCACCGCGUCCUGGCCGCGUGGACUCAGUUGCCAAGAGUCUGAGGAUGGAAG
ensembl:lncRNA